rnacentral:rRNA from 1 species
GACGAACGCUGGCGGCGUGCUUAACACAUGCAAGUCGAACGGAAAGGCCCUGCUUUUGUGGGGUGCUCGAGUGGCGAACGGGUGAGUAACACGUGAGUAACCUGCCCUUGACUUUGGGAUAACUUCAGGAAACUGGGGCUAAUACCGGAUAGGAGCUCCUGCUGCAUGGUGGGGGUUGGAAAGUUUCGGCGGUUGGGGAUGGACUCGCGGCUUAUCAGCUUGUUGGUGGGGUAGUGGCUUACCAAGGCUUUGACGGGUAGCCGGCCUGAGAGGGUGACCGGCCACAUUGGGACUGAGAUACGGCCCAGACUCCUACGGGAGGCAGCAGUGGGGAAUAUUGCACAAUGGGCGGAAGCCUGAUGCAGCAACGCCGCGUGCGGGAUGACGGCCUUCGGGUUGUAAACCGCUUUCGCCUGUGACGAAGCGUGAGUGACGGUAAUGGGUAAAGAAGCACCGGCUAACUACGUGCCAGCAGCCGCGGUGAUACGUAGGGUGCGAGCGUUGUCCGGAUUUAUUGGGCGUAAAGGGCUCGUAGGUGGUUGAUCGCGUCGGAAGUGUAAUCUUGGGGCUUAACCCUGAGCGUGCUUUCGAUACGGGUUGACUUGAGGAAGGUAGGGGAGAAUGGAAUUCCUGGUGGAGCGGUGGAAUGCGCAGAUAUCAGGAGGAACACCAGUGGCGAAGGCGGUUCUCUGGGCCUUUCCUGACGCUGAGGAGCAAAGCGUGGGGAGCGAACAGGCUUAGAUACCCUGGUAGUCCACGCUGUAAACGGUGGGUACUAGGUGUGGGGUCCAUUCCACGGGUUCCGUGCCGUAGCUAACGCUUUAAGUACCCCGCCUGGGGAGUACGGCCGCAAGGCUAAAACUCAAAGGAAUUGACGGGGCCCCGCACAAGCGGCGGAGCAUGCGGAUUAAUUCGAUGCAACGCGUAGAACCUUACCUGGGUUUGACAUGGAUCGGGAGUGCUCAGAGAUGGGUGUGCCUCUUUUGGGGUCGGUUCACAGGUGGUGCAUGCCUGUCGUCAGCUCGUGUCGUGAGAUGUUGGGUUAAGUCCCGCAACGAGCGCAACCCUUGUUCACUGUUGCCAGCACGUUAUGGUGGGGACUCAGUGGAGACCGCCGGGGUCAACUCGGAGGAAGGUGGGGAUGACGUCAAGUCAUCAUGCCCCUUAUGUCCAGGGCUUCACGCAUGCUACAAUGGCUGGUACAGAGAGUGGCGAGCCUGUGAGGGUGAGCGAAUCUCGGAAAGCCGGUCUCAGUUCGGAUUGGGGUCUGCAACUCGACCUCAUGAAGUCGGAGUCGCUAGUAAUCGCAGAUCAGCAACGCUGCGGUGAAUACGUUCCCGGGGCU